rnacentral:lncRNA from 1 species
AAAUUUUGGGAAUGUAAACAAUUAUAUGUCUACAGUUGCUCAACCCCAAACUCCGUCAUCUUUGUUCAAGAACAAACCCUAAUUUCUGACGAAUCCAUUGUCGAGCACAAACCCAUGUAUUGUGCGCGCCGAUCGAAAAAUGCAGUAUAUUCCCCAAAACAAAUCCCACAAUUCACAUUAUCAAAAUCCAAACACUUAGUUUCUUCUUUCUCCAUUAGUUUUCAAACAGCAACAAAGAAGAAGGGAGAAGAAAGAGAAUAAGAAAAAGAGAGAAGAAGGAAGUGGAAGCAGUGUCUGAAGUUUGCUCAAAUCGGAUAUACAUUAAAAAAUUUAAGAGAAAGCAACGUCCGAUAGAAUUGAAUAAAUUGGGAUCGCAGAGAAUUUAGGUGAUGUGGGUGAGAGAAAUUUUGAGAUAGAGCAUCGUGUUUUCAGGGAAUGGGGAAGACAAUGUCAUGUACCAAAGUAGAGAGAGAAAUAAAAUAGUGUAACUAAAUAGCGUAUUUAGUGGCUUAGGGAUAUGAGUUAACCAAAAUUAGAUAUUUCGCUAUAAACAUUAAAAGGUAUAUAUAGAAUAUGAUUUUCUUAAAUGAUAUUUAUUUAAAAUAAAU